UGGUGAUGAUGGUGAUAAUGGUAACGAUGGUGGGGAUGCUGGUGGUGGUGGGAUGAUGGUGGGGAUGAUGUUUUUACUACCUCCAAAUUUUCUCCUUCAAGGGAUGCUCCUGUUUUCUGCCGUCACUGCUUGUGACGUAGAACUUCACAGAUGUGAGGACCUCUGGGUGGGUGGCAGGCCCGGGCCUGGGUGAGAGCCGAGCUGUCAAUGGCAGGAACAGACCUGCGUCCUGAAUGAUGUCAGCUAUGUCACCUUGCCUCCUGGGCUCCGGUUUCUCCUUCUGUGAAACAGUGAGGUUGAACUGGGUGAUUCCUAAAGGGUCCUUCUGGCUUUAAGGUUUUCUGACACAGUUUUUGUUUGACAGCAAGUGGUUUUGCAAGGAUCUUUCUUCCUCCUUCAGAUAUUUAUAUUUUCUGCCAUCAUUUCGACAAAGCCUGUCUUGGAGGUGCCUUUACCUGGACAUCCAGCAACGAGCUGGCGUUGGACAUGCAGAGAUACAUACACACAGGGUUACUUCUGUGAGAGAGAGAGAGAGAGAGUGUGUGUGUGUGUGUGUGUGUGUGUGUGCACGCACGCACCCCCAGCAGACCCCCGACAUCCCAGAAUGCAGACACCAAUGCCUCCAAGACCCACAAAUUCAGCACAGCAAAGGCACUGACUUCACCGAGAAGAAACAAUCAAGCUCCAGUGUGGCUCCUGGGUGGCUGGCUAGGUUCAUCCAUAGUUACACAUCCCGGGAAGGGCGGGGACAGGAGCACCGCACCCCCAAAGCCGCACCCGCUCCAAUGGACCUCUCCAGUCGCUGGAGAGACGGGACUUUCCAGCACAGACCUAGGGGACUGGACUGGAGCUCUGCUUCCAGGAAGCGUGGCUGGAGACCUCGAGCAAGUCACCUCUCCGCUUGGGGCUCAGGUCCCCUCCUGUUCCCUGCGGGGACGGUCGGUCCUGCCCGGCCUCUCUCGAGAUUAUCGUGAGGACUGAACUGCUGGACACGUACCAAACCCUCCGUGCACUGUCGGGUCCCGUGUGAGCAUGGGGCUGAUGUUCCAGGCAUGUGGUUGCACGCAUUUUAGGAUAAGUUAGCGCCUGCGACCCCAGACCUCCUCCCGGGGCUGUGCCAGGGAUGCAGCAUGUCACGAUGCUCAGUGCCCAGCUCACAGCAAGAGCUUCGAAAAUGAAUCUCCUUCUCCUCCUUGCACUCCCUCUUCCUCUCCCCCUCCCUCUUCAUUAUAAUCAUUAUUAUUAAUUGUUAUUCUACACAAAGCAAAGACAUGCUUUAGUUAGAAAACACGGAAAGGGACCAGCGAUGUCUUCAAAUGGACACCACCAGCUCUUAGCUCGCUCCAGAGCAGAUGCUUCUAAAACAGCCUACAGGUGGUGGUGGGGGUCCGAGGCCCCCGCCAGCACUGUCCUUGCUCAGGAGACUAAAUGUUUGAACAUAUGCAGACACGCGUGAUGGAGUGGCCGCAAGACCUGGGAGCUGGAAGCUGGGGGUACCAGGACGGGCAGAGCGCCGCUCGGAGCAGCUCGUCAGAGAGCUCUGCAGGGAGACGCCUCUUUCAUUCGCCGAGAGAAAAGCAAAGUGUACCGGAGCGAGUUGUGUCCCCCUAAAAGGUAGGCUCAAGUUCUCUGCCAUUACCUGCGAAUGGGCCUUAUUUGGAAACAGGGCCUUUGCAGAUAUCAUCAACAUUAAGAUGAGAUCAUGCUGGACUAGGGUGGUGAUUCCAAUAGCUGGGGUCUUUAUGAAAAGAGGGCGAUUUGGACAGACUCAGAAGAAAGGGCCAUGUGAUCAUGGAGCCCCCCAGAGCUGGAGGAGGCAGGAGGGACCCCCCACCCAGAGCCUCUGGAGUGAGCACAGCCGCACGACACCUGGAUUUGGGGCAUCUGGCCCCAGAACUGUGAGAGGAUACAUGUCUGUUGCUUUAACCCACCCAGUUUGUGGUGAUUUGUUAUGGCCGCCCUGGAAAACGCAGGCACCACCCGGGGAACCAAGAAACAGGCGGUGACACGAACAGGCGACUUGAGGAAGAAAUACCAUGGCCGAUGCACAGAACACGCUGCUUCCGUGAAGCAUGGAGACAUCAGUGAUGUGACUGACACUUUGCUGUUUUUCUUCAGCAAAUUGUCAAAGAUUUAAAACACAUAGACUCUGCGAGUCUGGCCAGGGCAUGCGACACGGAUAACUCACAGGGCUGUUUCCCAGAGUCUUCUUCCCUUUUGUGAGUUCAUCCUGGAAGCAGUCACACCAGGCGAGGUGUGCCCUCCCCUCACCUCGUGAUGUCUAAGGUGGACGUGAUCUACAUAAAAGCCGUGAUAGAGCCUGACGCCAGAAAGCACUGGAAUCCCGCGUCCGCCGCCCAGGAAACUGUUCCUUCUGUGUCAGCGUGAAAAGCCGCUUACAAGAGACAUCAGUGCUAAUUUCAUGAAAAAGCAAUGAGACUUGUGUGCUCGGGGCGCAGGAGCCUGCCGAGUCAGCAGUGGGCAUCCCUGGGCUGCAGAAUCAAGCGGAAUUUUGAAAUUUCCCUGUUUGGGUUUUGCUGUAGUUUCCAAACUUUGUGUAAAAAACAGGUAUUAUUUUUGAA